rnacentral:rRNA from 1 species
GACGAACGCUGGCGGCGUGCUUAACACAUGCAAGUCGAACGGAAAGGCCCUGCUUUUGUGGUGUGCUCGAGUGGCGAACGGGUGAGUAACACGUGAGUAACCUGCCCUUGACUUUGGGAUAACUUCAGGAAACUGGGGCUAAUACCGGAUAGGAGCUCCUGCUGCAUGGUGGGGGUUGGAAAGUUUCGGCGGUUGGGGAUGGACUCGCGGCUUAUCAGCUUGUUGGUGGGGUAGUGGCUUACCAAGGCUUUGACGGGUAGCCGGCCUGAGAGGGUGACCGGCCACAUGGGGACUGAGAUACGGCCCAGACGCCUACGGGAGGAAGCAGUGGGGAAUAUUGCACAAUGCGCGGAAGCAGGAUGCAGCAACGCCGCGUGCGGGAUGACGGCCUUCGGGUUGUAACCCGCUUUCGCCUGUGACGAAGCGUGAGUGACGGUAAUGGGUAAAGAAGCACCGGCUAACUACGU